AGAAGUGCCGGGCCCUUGGGUGCCCAUGCCGGGCCUUCAAGAGGGAAGCCGGUGCGAGUCCGGCGCGGUCCCGCCACUGUGAACGGGUUGCCCUGAGGUCCAGGGCCGGAAGCCUCGGCUGUCACCACUUUCGCGUCAGCGGAUGCGAAGGGAAGGUGGAGGCUUCCUUCCAGAAGGGCGCAGCGUGCGCCCACGUCUGGAGCCCGUCAGCCAGGAGACCUGCCCAGGGGUGCGGCAGCGG
rnacentral:ncRNA from 2 species